rnacentral:rRNA from 1 species
GACGAACGCUGGCGGUGUGCCUAACACAUGCAAGUCGAACGGUAAGGCCCUUUCGGGGGUACACGAGUGGCGAACGGGUGAGUAACACGUGAGUAACCUGCCCUCAUCUCUGGGAUAACAGUCGGAAACGGUUGCUAAUACUGGAUAUGAGCUUGCAAGGCAUCUUGUGGGUUGGAAAGAUUUUUUUGGUUGGGGAUGGACUCGCGGCCUAUCAGCUUGUUGGUGAGGUAGUGGCUCACCAAGGCUUCGACGGGUAGCCGGCCUGAGAGGGCGACCGGCCACAUUGGGACUGAGAUACGGCCCAAACUCCUACGGGAGGCAGCAGUGGGGAAUAUUGCACAAUGGACGGAAGUCUGAUGCAGCAACGCCGCGCGCGGGAUGACGGCCUUCGGGUUGUAAACCGCUUUCAAUUGUGACGAAGCUUUUUGUGACGGUAGCAGUAGAAGAAGCACCGGCUAACUACGUG